GAGCCAUCAGCCCAGAGGCUGACGCGGGGCUCGAACUCACGGACCGUGAGAUCGUGACCUGGCUGAAGUCAGACGCUUAACCAACUGCGCCACCCAGGCGCCCCAACACAAUACAUUUCAAAUUUAACACAUAAACAAUAACACAUUGUGAAACAACAUGUCCAUACCCUACUAAUUGCACAUUAACUGAGACAAACUGUAGAGCUAACGCAACCGAAACCUUAAGAGCAAAAUGAUUAUUGAGAGUAUAACAGGAUUUCUGAGAAAAUCAUACUUAACAUGACAUCUAAAGUUUGUGAAAUAGGUGUGAAUAAAGCUUCUCAUCCCAAUAAAAUAGCCUGUAGACAACUUAAUGGGUCCCUGGGUCCAGAGACCACAUAUUGGAAGAAGGCUGAUAGAUGGGGAAGGAAAAAAAAAAAAAAAAAAAAAAAAAAAAAAAAAUAUAUAUAUAUAUAUAUAUAUAUAUAUAUAUAUAUAUAUUGCAGAGUCACGUGACCAGAGGACUCAUUGAAAUACAAAAAAUGUAAAUGGGUGAAAAGGCGAAAAAUUGAAAGGAAAUGUACAGUGUGAUCCCAUUUAUGUAAAAAAGUGAGUGUAAAUUUUAAGUACAUAGGAAGAAAGCACUGGAAGGAAAAAUUGUUAUCAGUGAUCAGCCUAGGGAGGGGAGGGGCUAGGAGAGCAAAGGGAACCUUCAUGUUCUACUCUCUAUAUGCGUAUCUUUUUUUUAAUGUUUAUUAUUUAUUUUUGAGAGAGAGAGAGAGAGGAAGAAUGCUCAGCAGGCCCUGCACUGUCAGCACAGAGCCUGCCACAGGGCUUGAACCCACGAUCCGUGAAAUCAUGACCUGAGCCAAAAUCAGGAGUCGGACUUAUAACCAGCUGAGCCACCCAGGUGCCCCAUUUAUGCCUCUUAUUAAUUUCAAAUUGUGGUCAAAUACACACAACACAAAAUUUACUAAACUACCUUUAAGUAUACAGUUCAACAGUGUUAAGUAUAUUCACAUUGUUGUGCAACCAAUCUCUAGAACUCUAUCAUCUGAAAAAGUUGAAACUCUUUACCAAUUAAAAAGCAACUUCCAAUUUCCUUCUUCCCCCAACCCCUGGUGACCAUUUUUCCACUUUCUGUCUCUAUGAAUUUGACUAUUCUAGCUCCCUCGUAUAAGUGGUAUCAUUUCAAUAUUUGUCCAUUUGUAUCUGGUUUAUUUCACUUAACAUAAUGUCUUCAAGGUUCAUUCAUGUUGUAGCCUUUAUCAGAAAUUAAUUUCUUUUUAAGCCUGAAUGAUAUUCCAUUGCAUGUUUAUUCCACAUUUUGUUCAUUCAUUCAGUAAUCAUUCAUGGACACUUAGGUUGCUUCCACCUUUUGGGUGUUGUGAAUAGUGCUCCUCUGAACACAGGCGUGCAAAUACCUCUUCAAGACCCUUUCAGUUCUUUUCGGCCUUCCUAUUUUGGAAAAAUCGGGAAUUCAUUUUCAACUCAAUAAGUAUGGGUACCUAAGGGCAGCAGUUGGAGAUGACACAUGUACACAUCCAUACAUUUUAAAUUCAACAAAUAUUUACUGGGUAUCUAAUACGUGCCAGGUUGUACGUUCGCCACUGGGAAUUUAACAAUGAACAAAUCAUCAAUGCUUUUUCUUUCUUUUUCUUUCUCAUAACAGCUUUAUUGUAGUAUAACUCAGACACCAUACAGUACCCCAAUUGAAGUGUACAAUUCUGUGGUUUUUAGUGUAUUCACAAAGUAGUACAAUUAUCACCAGUAUUUUCAACACCCUUCAAAAGAAACCCCCUAACCAGUAGCAAUCACUCCCCGUUUCUCCCAACCCUCAGCAACCAUUUCAUUCUCUCUAUUUUUGCCUAUUCGGACAUUUUGUAUAAAUGGAAUCAUACAGUU